rnacentral:lncRNA from 1 species
CGAUUAUCCUAUCACUCUUGUUGCCUUCUGAAGUAGUUCUGGAGGCCCUCUUUCAUGAGUGUCAUUGCAAAUUGUGAUGUAAAAUACAAAGAGUGUUGCUCCUGAGUUCCAUCCAGUGGAGAGGCAGGCCCGUGCGCCGUGUGUCCUCAUCCACCUGUUCACUGCGUCUGGCCUCGAGUAACUUCUGACUCUUCUCCAAAAUCAAAAGGACCAUGAGAGGUCUUGUAUCUCUCUGCGUGCUCCACUCUCUAGAACUACCCUCUGGCAACCUGGCCAUUGAACACUUGCUCUCUCAUGGAUCUGGCAGCCCCUCGGAGCCCCUUGGGAAAGACAGCACCAGUCCCCCUGGGCCAUGUACUGAAGAGUGCACACAUGUUCCUGCUGGUACAGAGGGUGAGGUGGAAAUAAGCAAGCACCACCCCGAGGAGGAAAGACAAGGUUAUCUCUGCUAAGCCUGCUACAGCAGACUGAGUCAUCACUUGAAUUUUACCUGAGACUCAAAGGCAUGAACCUAAUAAAUACGGUAGCUGAAGAAAGGGAAGUUCUCAGAGGAGCCCAGAUGGGAGGCUGACGGCUUAGGGAAGCUGGAGCAGGCAAAGUAGGAGUACAGUAUCCUCUGUGAGCGCCAAGGAGAAUGUAUUUGGCUUUCUCAAGUUGAUCCCUAAUUGGAAUUAGGGACAGAGAUUAUUGAUCAAGCCCUGGCCAUUUUAAGCCAAUUAUUAAUGGACACCCUCGAUUGUCACCAGGAACAACAUUACAGCUUCACAAGAGUAGCUUUUCUCAGACUGGCUUCCUUGGCUGUUUACUGCAGAUAAGACUUGGUUCCCUAGUUGGGUUGGUGCACCUUGUAGGUGCAACAUUUGGGAAACAGAAUGUAUCCUCAAACGAUAGAUUGCAUGCACCUUAUAGAUCUGUGUAGAUGAAAACAGGCUUCUGAGAGGUUAAAAUGGUGAGAUACUUUCUCUUCAAGGAAAAAGCCCAUUUUACGUUACUUUUGCACAAGUAGCAUGACACCCAGUUAUUUAUUGAGCAUGGACCAUGCAAUGAGGGCCAGGUUGGGUGUGUGGAGAAGGGACAAGAAUCUCAGGAGCUCUUUGGAUAAGGAAUACCGACACUUGCAAAGCAGGGAAGACAGUAACCAGGCCUCAGGGGCGUAACUCGCGGGCUUGCCAGCACCUGCAUGGGGUGGGGGCAGCGGUGUUCCCUGGAUGCUGGGAGUCAAUCACAGCACACUCGAUGAGGCUUGCAUUUCCAUUCCUCAGGUUCAGAGGUAGCACACCGUCUAUGCCUGUGCAAGUUUAGACAUCUGUUUUUCUCUGCGCACAUGUUCCCACAGUUGCACUCUGCAGGCAAGUGAGAGAGAAAUUUGAUAAGCAAUUUGUGCUAUGUCAGUUACACCAAAUCACAGCCACUGUCUGUCCCUCUAAUCACACAGAAACCCAUGAGGCAUGAAGUUCCCAGAGCUUCUUAGGUUACUGCAGCCCCGGGAGUACUACAGACCAGGCAUCAGGAGACUUUUGCACAGGGAUCCUCCUUCCCUG